UCGCACCGGCGCCGUUCCCUCACCGCCGGCGCCACCGCGUCGCCGCCUACAGCAGUACACCAUGCUCCGCCUCCACAAAUGGAUCCUCACCGAACUGCUCCUUCCUUCCACCUCCGCCUACGCCAUCUCCCCUCUCCACCGCCUCAUCUCCGCCGCCGCGCCCGCCGUCUCCCCCAACCCUAGUAGCUUCGCCGUGGAGGACUACCUCGUCUCCUCCUGCGGCCUCACCCGACCACAGGCCGCCAAGGCCUCCGCCAGGCUCUCCCACCUCAAAUCCCCCGCCAAGCCCGACGCCGUCCUCUCCUUCCUCGCCGGCCUCGGCCUCUCCGGCGCCGAUGUCGCCGCCCUCGUCGCCAAGGACCCGCAGCUCCUCUGCGCCGGUGUGGAGAAAACCCUGGCCCCCAACGUCGCGGGGCUCACUGGCCUUGGUCUCUCGCGUUCUGAGAUCGCACGCCUCGUCUCGCUCUCCCGUAACAGCUUCCGCUACAGAUCCAUCGUCUCCAAGCUGCAGUACUACAUGCCUCUCUUUGGGUCCUUUGAGAACCUCCUCCGGGCCCUCAAGAGGAACUUCUACCUUCUCUCGUCUGACCUCGACGGCAUCGUCAAGCCCAAUGUCGCUUAUCUGCAGGAGUGCGGGCUAGGUGCUUGUGAUAUUGCCAAGCUAUGCAUCAGUCGACCAGGUCUGCUCACCACCAAUCCAGAGCGCUUGCAGGGCAUGGUGGCACGCGCCGAAAACAUAGGUGUGCCCUGUAGUUCUGGGAUGUUCAGCCACGCGCUGCAUGCUGUUGCAUGUUUCAGCAAAGAGGAGAUCGCAGCCAGGGUGGACUACUUGAAGAACACGUUCAUGUGGACAGAUGCUGAGGUGGGCAUUGCUGUUUCUAAGGCUCCAUUGAUACUGACAAGGUCCAAGGAAUCGCUGCAGCGCAGGUCUGAGUUCCUCAUCUCCAAGGUGGGGUUAGAACCGGCAUAUAUUGCUUGUCGUCCAGCAAUGCUCACGUAUAGCUUGGAGGGCCGGCUCAGACCCCGGUACUAUGUUGUCAAAUUUCUCAAGGAAAGUGGAUUGCUAGAUCAUGACCGGCACUACUUUGGUGCAGUCAUGAUCAGCGAGAAGGUAUUCGUCGAGAAGUUCAUAUGCCCUCAUAAGGAUGCUGCACCGCAUCUCGCUGAAGAUUAUGUAACAGCUUGCAGAGGGGAGGUUCCAGCUAGAUUCAGUUUUACAUGAACCAAGACUAAUAAGAAAAUUGGUAUGUUCAUUACGUCAUUCAGUAGAGAAGAAACCAUUGCACUGCUAUGAACUUGUCUUUGUCAUAUUGCAUCAGGGUAUUCUGCAAAUUCUUUGAAAUAGUAGUUUGUAUAUCAGUUUUUUUUUUGCCUCUUGUAGUUUUGGAUGACCUUCUGGGUGGUACUUUUCUAGGGGCAUCUGAUCUCGAAACUGAAUAGUUGAGUAUAUCGCCACAUAAACAGAUAUUUCUAACGCCCUGGUGUUUUUGCUGGAGAAGCAAAUUGACGCUUGUAUGGUAAUGCUAUGGUGCUGAAAAACAGAGGGCAUUUCAUACAAUAAGGGAAGUUAUGUUAUGGUAACCUUGAAAAGGGUUAUGACACUACCAUGUUAAUUUCUGCUAUAUCUUUUAGCUAUUUAUUCCAUAAAAGCACUAUCCAUAAUUCCAUAUAGAUUGUGAGGGCAGCUUUAUCACUUAGCAUAUUUGUUUAGGAUAGUAAAGUGGGUCUUAUGUACCAUCACUUUUGCAAAUUUCUAUCUGGAAAGUUGGAAUAGGAAAGGAACAAUGCCGGAUGGGAUGCCAUGUAGUCUGGAAUUUUGCAGAAUUUCAGACAUAGGAAUUACUAGGUACCUCAGUCUACAAACCAACCUGUGUGAGGAUGGUGCACAUUUUGUUUGUUCCUGAUGUGAGGCUGUAGAAGUUGUAGGAAAUGAGAUCUCAGGUGUGUGCUUGCAUUUACAGAUCAGCUCUCUGUCGCCCUUCUCUGGUGCUUGUUGAAAUUAUAGAAUCAAGAUUAAUGAAAUGUAGGCGAAGUGAACAGGUUGGCUGAUGAAGUGACUUACCACCAGAUGUGCUGAAACUGGAUGUAGACGGUGCUUUCUUCCUCUUCCAGGAGACGAUGCGAGACAUGUCGGCAAUGGCUUUGGUGCACUAUACAUGAUUCUGAAGGCUCUGUAAGUUGAUGAUGCCCUGAAGAUUCAGUGACAAGUAUGGCCUGAUGCUGGCGUAAGUUUUAUUCAGGGAAGCUCCUACUUAUCUCUUUUUUGAACUUUUAAGUUAAAGUAAACCUUCUAGUGUUAUACUAGAGAUUGUAACAUGGUGGCUGAUGAGUUACUGUCGCAUGCCUGUCGGAUUCAUCAGCUCAGCUGAGUGAGGCAAACUGAACAAAAUAGCAAGUCGAAUAAAGUAACAGCAUCUUGUGCUUUAAUCAAUUCAUACUUGGAGCUCCGUGCGCUUAUAUUUGAAAAAAAAUGAACGAAUCAUGCAUGAAUGUAAACAGAAAGCGUGAUGUAAAUUUUCUACUCUGAAUUCUGAAUUUGAAUCAGAGUUGAUUGUUAACUCUAAAUCUUUCAGACUUCAUGGGUUACACCCAAGUAAGUGUGAAGCUAUAGUACAUGUUUAAAAAUCAUAACUUGAAUUAGAGCAGAAAGUUAACAGCAAUCUUAUAACAAAGUUUUUUUUUACUGUACUUUUUCCUCCAACACGGCAUUUUCUAUUAUCACAGCGGCAUCUCUAUGACACUUGUUCUUAAGUUUUCCUAACAUUGGGACUGGGGUUAACUAAUUAUGUUGAAAAAUCAUUUUCUCAUCUUAAAAAACAUCAAUGAUUAGAGGAUUCUGAGCAAAAAGCUAUUCUGUAGUUUUCAUAAAUGUCCAAUUCAGUCUAUUAAAAUGGGCAUAUUUUCAUACAGGUUCAGCAAAACAGAAAUGUCAUUUUUAUAGUGCGAAUAAAAUUGUUUUACCCUAUAAUUUAAAGUGUGCAUUUUUAGUAUCUAAUGUACUGAAGGCAUGUGAUGAAUACCAAUUGGAAAUGGUAGCUGAUUGCAUCGUUCUUAUUUCUGGAAUUUCUUUCUCCAAUAUUUUCUCUAAAUGUUGGUUGUGCAGAUCUGACACGGAAAAUGAGAGGAACAAUUUAGGGUGACAUAUUGGUGAGGAAGAAGGACUGAUUUCUUUUCUGUCUCGCUUCUGAACACUAUAUGGUCCUACUUAUUGUUGCAUGGUUAACAAUGCAAAGCACCAGUGGAGUUACAUGUAUAGUGCAAAUGCGAGACAAUAGAACGAAUCUGAAGUUUUUCAUCUCUAUUCCAUAGAGACAAUUGUUAUAAUUUUCGGGGUCAAAACAGGAGCUGUAUUUUAUCAUCAACUGUCAGCACCGUGCCUUCAUCAUGUAUUAAGUUUACUAGUGGCCAAGUGUUUUUUCUUUA